AGCGAACGCUGGCGGCAGGCCUAACACAUGCAAGUCGAACGGACCCUUCGGGGUUAGUGGCGGACGGGUGAGUAACACGUGGGAACGUACCUUUAGGUUCGGAAUAGCUCCUGGAAACGGGUGGUAAUGCCGAAUGUGCCCUUCGGGGGAAAGAUUUAUUGCCGUUUGAGCGGCCCGCGUCUGAUUAGCUAGUUGGUGAGGUAAUGGCUCACCAAGGCGACGAUCAGUAGCUGGUCUGAGAGGAUGACCAGCCACAUUGGGACUGGGACACGGAGCAAACUCCUGCGGGAGGCAGCAGUGGGGAAUCUUGCGCAAUGGGCGAAAGCCUGACGCAGCCAUGCCGCGUGGAUGAUGAAGGUCUUAGGAUUGUAAAAUCCUUUCACCGGUGAAGAUAAUGACUGUAGCCGGAGAAGAAGCCCCGGCUAACUUCGUGCCAGCCGCCGCCGUAAGAC
rnacentral:rRNA from 1 species